UAAAACUGACUAAACUAUAUUCUUCUUUUCGUGAUGAUUUUCUUAUAUUCACACUGUCUAAGAGUGCAGUUUAAGUACUGUAUCUCAAUGAACACACAAACGAAAAAACUGAUUUAAUGACUCUGAUUUAGAAAGAAUAUAUCAUAAA